GCGCCUCCGGGACAAGGCGGGCGGGAGAGGAAACGGCGGCGGGGUGGGAACAGAAGCAAGAAAAAGAUGUUCCACAGGUUUCUCAUGCCAAAACAGAUUUGCCAGUAAAUCUCCACCGAUGCAGAUAUACUGACUUCAAUUUGGUAACAUAUUUCAAGAGCACCACCGUUUCUCACAUCUGGCUGCCCUACAGUUGUUCACUGAAAAGCUAUUCUCAAACUCCUCCAUGUAACAACUCCAGUGACAAUCCUGCAUCUUUACUUCUACCUUAUGAGACUCCUUUUGUCUUCUGCACUUAUAUUCAGCCUGGUCUUCACAAGAAGAGGUCCCAACUAUUUCUGCUUUCAUAAAGAUCUUUCUGCAAGCAAGAAUUUGUCUGCUCUAUGACUGAAGCUCAAGUAGUAUAAAUAAUGAGUUAAGUCAGAUAUGGCCAUAUGGCGUGGAGCACAAAAUGCUCUUACAUCCCGGUUAGUUACCUGAGGCUCUGAGCUCCACAUUGCUGCAGCUUUCUUGCUGUCAGCACUCAAAAUGGCUCAUUUAAUGCUAGGCUGAGUACAUCUAACCAUGCAGCAAUCACACAAUGGUUUUCUGAAGAGACAUACUUUCUAGAACAUGCCUUCAUUGCAUGCUAACCUUGGAUUAAAUGAACCAAGGAAAGGGAUCCUGAAGUUCUCUAACUUGCUACAAUGCAGUCCUGCUAUUAUUAAGUCUGCUGCUGAACGUGUGAAAGUGUGGGGGAUCAACAGAAACUUCACAGAAGCAAAGCCCUGUGGUAGGUGGAAACGGCAGCCUUGUCACAAAAUCUGCAGAAUAAACUCUGAGGCAGUGCCACUAGAACAAAGCCAAGCAGUACAAGAAACAUCAUUACAGACUGAAAAAAGGAAUCUCUACAGGCACUCUUAUUUAGAUCACCUUGAAGGUGACUGAAGAGAGAAGAGGUUGGUAUUGGUAAUAAACUAGAAAGUGAAGGUCUCACUUGAGGCAAGAGAAGAAGAGAGAACUGCUGUAAUGAAACAAUAUAGAAGAUGAGAAUGAGUGGAGGAGAGGAAAGCAAGCUCUGGACUCUUUGGUAAUGAGGUGUGCCAGUCCACCAUCCUGAGGAAUGAAUACUGUUAGAGAAUAUAUAAGAACUGCCAAGGCCAAUGUGCUUCACUAGCAGGGGCUUAUACCUGAGGACAGUGAAUUGUUUCCACUGACAGUGUGUCACAACCACUGUCCAGCUGAGAUUGCUGGUAUGUGUCAGAGUGAUUUGGAAAUAUGAAGAGACAGUCCAGUGAUCAUAGAAAAUGUGUGACCAAAGAGUUAGAGAAGGCCUAGCAGAAACAGAAAUAUCAUGUUCCAGAACGUGCCUUGUCCUUGGACAGCAGAAAACUGUGGAACAACAUCUUAUGGAUUUUGCUUUCCCUGGACAAAAGA